UAGACUUUAGAAGAAGCCAUUUCAAUUUUCAAAAUUUUUACAGCUCCCGUCCUCGCAUUCCCCCCCCUCUCUCUUCCCAGCGCCCUGAGUUCGCCCCUCCCUCUACCUAGCGCCUUGCGGUCUCCAGUUCGUGGCUGAUGAUCGCCUCCCCACGUUUUCCCCUUUGCUCGUGCUUCUUCUUCCCCAAUUCGUGAGAUUUGUUUCGCUGCCCCUCUGCCCAACUUCCUAGUCUAGGAGAUGGUGAAGACAUGUGGUGUAGGUGACCAAAAUCUGCUUCUCAUGUGGGCGGGGUUGUGUUGUGAAGGUGAUGUUAAUACAACUUGUCCAAUUGGUGGUCAAGGCUGUUGUGAAGGGGCUGCUGUCAAGAGCUGUUUUGUGUUGUGUGUGGGGGGCUGUUGCGAAGGGACUGAUUUGUAUCCAGUUGAGGAGAUGUACUUAGGGCCCGUUUGGUUGUUAAACUCAUCUGAGUUCAACUCAGUUCCGUCUAAUUUUAAGCUUUGUCUAACAUAGGGCUGUGCAAACUUUCGAAAAUUUCGACUCCGCCCAAAUUCCUCUCCGAUUCUAACGGAGUUGGAGUUGGAGUAGCUCCGAAUAAAUAGUCGGAGUCGGAUUUCGGAACUCCGACUCCGAUUUUUUUAAAAAAAAUAUUAAACGACGCCGUUCCACUUAAGGUGGAAUGGCGUCGUUUCAUCACGGGGGGGUCCAAAACGCAGGACCCCCUUCCCUUCUUCCCUUCUUCCUUCUUCCUUCUCCUUUUCAUUUUCUCUAAACCAGUGAACCUCUCGCCGCCUCGCUGCCUCGUUCCCUCUCUGUUGCCGCCGUUCCUCUUUGCACCUCCGUAGUGCGCAACACUCCGUUCCCCUUCACUUCUCAGGCCAGCCUUCAUAGCCUCUAGUAGGUUUCCAAUUCCGAGCCCUAAAAUUGAUUUAAAUUUUUUUUUCCAUGUUGUUGGGUUGCCUAAAAUUAUUUGUUUUGAGAUUAAUUGUUGUGAAGUUGUGUUGUUGUAAGGAAAUGUAGCAAAAAUUGAAUAUGGUUGAUGGCAAUGGACUGUGCAAACUAGUAUGCAUGCAAUGUGUUUGAUAAAAUGUGUAUAAGAUUUUAUGGAU